UACGUAGGUGGCAAGCGUUGUCCGGAUUUACUGGGCGUAAAGAGCGCGCAGGCGGUCGUUCAAGUCGCGUGUGAAAGCCCCCGGCUCAACUGGGGAGGGUCACGCGAUACUGAUCGACUCGAAGGCAGGAGAGGGAAGUGGAAUUCCCGGUGUAGUGGUGAAAUGCGUAGAUAUCAGGAAGAACACCCGUGGCGAAGGCGGCUCUCUGGGACGGUACUGACGCUGAGGCGCGAAAGCGUGGGGAGCAAACAGG
rnacentral:rRNA from 1 species